ensembl:miRNA
AUCGCGACAAUAUAGGUAGUUAUUUGAAUUCUGAAUACAGUAAGUGCUGAUUGUUGUUGUGU